AGAAGUCGGGGAGACAGUCGCGUGUCUCCCGAACCCGUGUUCAGGAGGUGCGAGGAAAGUCCGGGCUCCACAGGGCAGGGUGCUGGUUAACGGCCAGGGGGAGUGAUCCCACGGAAAGUGCCACAGAAAAUAUACCGCCCGCGCUUCGGCGCUGGUAAGGGUGAAAUGGUGAGGUAAGAGCUCACCGCGUCUCCGGUGACGGGGAUGGCAGGGUAAACCCCACCUGGAGCAAGACCAAAUAGGGGAGGAUGAGGCGGCCCGCCUCGCCAGGACUCCCGGGUAGGUCGCUAGAGGCCGCCGGUAACGGCGGUCCCAGAUACAUGACUGUCGCGGUCGCCGGUUUCCGGUACCGCAACAGGACCCGGCUUACAACCGACUUCUCACG
rnacentral:RNase_P_RNA from 1 species